rnacentral:rRNA from 1 species
AUUGAACGCUGGCGGCAUGCUUUAUACAUGCAAGUCGUGCGGCAGCGCGGGGGCAACUCUGGCGGCGAGCGGCGAACGGGUGAGUAAUACAUAGGAACGUAUCCUGAAAUGGGGGAUAGCUCGGCGAAAGCCGGAUUAAUACCGCAUACGCUCCACGGAGGAAAGCAGGGGAUCGCAAGACCUUGCGUUUCUGGAGCGGCCUAUGUCUGAUUAGCAGUUGGCGGGUAAUAGCCCACCAAGGCGACGAUCAGUAGCUGGUCUGAGAGGAUGAUCAGCCACACUGGGACUGAGACACGGCCCAGACUCCUACGGGAGGCAGCAGUAGGGAAUUUUGGACAAUGGGGCAACCUGAUCCAGCCAUGCCGCGUGAGUGAAGAAGGCC